CGCCUUUAAACUCGCCCUCGCUCCUACUAUACCCAGAAAGAGAUGGCUAGGGAAAGCAGCUGUUUGGCACGCGUGGCCGCCGGGGCGGCAGUCGGCGGCGCUGUUGGUGGCGCUGUAGGUGCUGUAUGGGGCACUGUGGAGGCUAUUAGAUACAAGGUGCCCGGUCUUUUGAAAAUCAGGCACAUUGGACAGACAACUGUUGGCAGUGCAGCAAUCUUUGGUCUUUUUCUGGGGGCAGGAAGUUUGAUACACUGUGGAAAGUCUUAUUAGUCAUUUCUAGAAUUGAUGAAUAAGUAAUGUUAUUUUUCUUUUUUAGUGGGGGAGGGAGGUCUGGAAAUGGACCAUGUGCAUCGAACCUUGUUCUAGUGUUUCAAAAGUAUUAUGCUGAAAUUAACUUUUGUCCUUGCUAUUGAGGAUUUGUUUUUUAGACUGCUGAAGUCUGAAUGGUUGAAUGAAAUGCUAUUUUCCUUU